rnacentral:tRNA from 1 species
UGCCCAGGUGGUGAAAUGGCAGACACGCCAGAUUUAGGAUCUGGUGCCGAAAGGCGUGGAGGUUCGAGUCCUCUCCUGGGCAA